rnacentral:rRNA from 1 species
UACAGAGGCCACAAGCGUUAGGCGGAAUCACUGGGCUUAAAGCGUGUGUAGGCGGGAUGGUAAGUACUUUGUGAAAUCCCACGGCUUAACCGUGGAAUUGCUUGGUAUACUGCCGCUCUUGAAUCACCUAGGGGCAGCUGGAACUGAUGGUGGAGCGGUGAAAUGCAUAGAUAUCAUCAGGAACGCCAAUGGUGCAGACAAGCUGCUGGGGGUGUAUUGACGCUGAGGCACGAAAGCCAGGGGAGCAAACGGG